GGCUCGCCCAGCUUCAGAAUGGAUGGUGAAGACCGUGGAUUCUUUUCCUCUGAGGUGGAGCUGAGUCACAAAGACUCAAGCCAGCGGUGUUAGUAUUUCUUCGAGCAUUACUGUCACUUGAACCUUGACUUCCAUUCCAAAACCUGUAGUAGAAAUGAAACUGUGCUUAUCCCCAGAUUCUGACAGUGAUGGCAUGAACUAUAUAGCUAAGGAAAAGCUCCUGAUCCACCUGUGUCGAUGUUCAGGACUUAUUUUAAGACUAAAGCUCAAGUUUGCAAGGACACUGGGGUAGCCGUCCAACCUGAUCACAAAU